rnacentral:rRNA from 1 species
UACGUAGGGGGCAAGCGUUGUCCGGAUUCAUUGGGCGUAAAGAGCGUGUAGGCGGCCAGGUAGGUCGGUUGUGAAAACUGGAGGCUCAACCUUCAGAGGUCGACCGAAACCAUCUGGCUAGAGUCCGGGAGAGGAGAGUGGAAUUCCUGGUGUAGCGGUGAGAUGCGCAGAUAUCAGGAAGAACACCCGUGGCGAAAGCGGCUCUCUGGAACGGUACUGACGCUGAGACGCGAAAGCGUGGGGAGCGAACAGG